AUAGAAAUAAAUUGUAGACUGAAUGGGUAAAAUUAUAAGUUUUCCAUUCGGCAUGUGAUCAUUAUAAGCUGUACGAUUAAUUUACAAUAAUAUCAUUAAUAUUUUUAUCGACCUAAUCAUAUAUAAUUAUUGACAGAUCAUACAUGUGAUAGUAAUGAUUACCGGAAUGGGAAAUGAAAAAUAAUUUGUGGGAAAAAAAAUCAUACAUGAUAUAAUUUCGUUACCCGACUGCAUAUAAUGAAGUUUUUCCGAGGGUUUUUCAUUUUCAGUGUAAUACAUUUUUGUGACAUUUUUGCCAGCGGCAGUUUUUUUUUCUUUCGAUGCCGAUGAAGAUCUGGUAGGGGAACCUAAAAUUUAAACAGCCUGUAUUGCAUAAUCAUCUGGUUUCAUCGACUACGCGGGAAUACACCACUUCGAACAGCGGAUUCAUAAAAUUGGCUAAUCCGUAAGGAUCUGCUUGUAAACCUUGGAAAGGUAAAGUUGUUGAGUGUUCGGUACACUAAAAUGGUCCUGAAAACGCACCUCAAAGUAUCCCGCCUUCCACCCUCGGUAAUGGGGGACACCGUGAUUAGAUCAUCCGUUCACUGUACUUUUAGACGAAUGUCGAAAUAUUGUUCUUAACUGCUAUUAAUGAAUUCCUCAAUAAUUUUGGGAAAAUGUAUAAAUAAUCUUAGAAGAUAGUAGAGAAGCUAUAUAAGGCAAUAAACGAGAAUAAAUGAAAAA